GAUGAACGCUGGCGGCGUGCCUAAUACAUGCAAGUCGAGCGAACAGAUGAGGAGCUUGCUCCUCUGACGUUAGCGGCGGACGGGUGAGUAACACGUGGAUAACCUACCUAUAAGACUGGGAUAACUUCGGGAAACCGUAGCUAAUACCGGAUAAUAUAUUGAACCGCAUGGUUCAAUAGUGAAAGACGGUUUUGCUGUCACUUAUAGAUGGAUCCGCGCCGCAUUAGCUAGUUGGUAAGGUAACGGCUUACCAAGGCAACGAUGCAUAGCCGACCUGAGAGGGUGAUCGGCCACACUGGAACUGAGACACGGUCCAGACUCCUACGGGAGGCAGCAGUAGGGAAUCUUCCGCAAUGGGCGAAAGCCUGACGGAGCAACGCCGCGUGAGUGAUGAAGGUCUUCGGAUCGUAAAACUCUGUUAUUAGGGAAGAACAAAUGUGUAAGUAACUAUGCACGUCUUGACGGUACCUAAUCAGAAAGCCACGGCUAACUACGUG
rnacentral:rRNA from 1 species